GAGAAUACGAUACACAGUGUUGAGCAAUUGAUAAUCCUCUGAAGGUUGCUUACGGCUUGAAUCAUUCCACUUUCCUUUCUUAUAGUUGUUGUUACCCCCUCUUCUUUUAAACUGGAUAUUACGGCAUUUCUUGAAAAAGUUUCGAUUGUUCCCAUCCAUCAUACCCCUCAAUACUAAAAACUAAUAACUGAAGGGAACUGAAUUUUAAGGAAACCUUAAUUCCUGGAUUAAAAAAAACAAUAACAAAAGUCGCCAUUACUGCGAAAGAGCCUAAUGCCAUCCUAAUUUUCUCGAGCAAUGAAACUGGGCUCAUCAUUUACAAUUUCGAACUGAACACUAAGUUAAGCAAAAGCUAUUGAAUUCAGGGAUUGCCAAUACAAAAGUUCAACUAUACAUUGUAAAGCUUGUAGUUAAAAAACGUACUUUGAUCUAGUAAAGUAUUUCCAACGAGCUAGCGGCCGUAAUUCGUGAGCGUUAGGCUUCGACCCAUCGCCCUAGGGUUCCAAAAACCAAACAUAUUCAUACAAUAUCAAAUUCAAGCAUUUCCUUUUCUGGGAACUAACCAAAACAAUAAUGCAAGACAAAAGUUCGAAUCUUUAGUUAAUUAACGACAGGAAACAAUAAAUUAGAUGGAGGGUGAUCGGAGAAAUGAGAAGAACAUAGCACAGGCCAGUCAGUAAAACUGUAAGAUUAUCGUUUGUGGGAAAGUUAAUGAAUGGUUUUUACCUUUUUACGUACCAGAGCGCGCGCGCGCGAUGAAUCGAGGUAAUGGAGCUUGGAGUCUUGGACUUGCAGAGUUUUGCCUGUAUUUUUUUUCGGUGGAAAAGGAGGUGGCCUUCGACCGAUUUCGAAUUCGUAGGAAAGGCUAAGGCCAUCUCUAACGACCGAAGAUUGGUAAGAAGAUUCGUUUUAACUCUUUGGUUUUUCAAGAUAUUAAUAUUUUAAUAAAUAGUACUUGAUUAUAUUUGCCUCUGUCUUCAACAGAGGGCCAAAGGGUCAUAGGGCUUGUUUUAGCUCUGUCACAAAAAAUCGUCUCCAACCUAGAGUCAAAUGGGCAAACAUAAUUUAUUAUUUAAAUUUAAAAACUACAACGGUAACUAACUAAAAAAACUGAAAAAAUUAGAACUAAAAUUUAAUGAAUGGUUUAGGUAUUUAUAGGAAAAAAUUUUGAAUUUUUAAGAUUUUUUUUAAAGGCCCAAAAAACCAAAAAAAAAUAAUUUUUGAAUACAAUAGCUAGUCAGCUAGCUGUUGGAUUCAAAUAAUCGACAGGAAUACUCAUCACUCUGGCCCAGCCCUGGUUGGCUGGCUGACUGCUUGUGGCCAGCCCUUUGACCCUUUUAGAUUCUGUGGAGCCCACGAGCCCUCUGGCUUAGCCCUCAGUUAAAGACAGUUUUCGGACUAUUUUUGGCCCUCUGGCCCUCUGGAUCCUUCGGUUGGAGAUGGCCUAACUUAACUUCGACCCGUUUCAAAUUGGACACGUCACAAAAGGUCCUGGACCAAUUUGAAAAAAUUCCCAAAAUAUUGGAAGACCCUUCGUGGAUUUAGAUUUUGCAAUAUACUCAGAAUAUAAAUCGGUACAUUACGUGUCGUAAUACAAGGAGAGAAAUGCGAAAAAUGUAUAUUUAUCCAGUAUUCACUUAUAUUAUAACACGUAAUGUACUAACUUGUAUUCCAAAUAGAUAAAAACAAAUCUCCCUUUACGGGUGUUAAUUCCAGCAUCCAAUGGAGUUGAUCCUUGAGGGAUAACUAAAGAUUUCAUUGUUUGAAACUUUAAAAUAAGGGAUAAAAUUUAGUGAGUCCAUUCAAAUAGGAGUAAACUGUGGUUUUACUCCAUCAAUUAUUUCUUCAUCGACUUCUACAAGUUAGGUUAUUAUUCUUACAAAGACAACACCAAACUAGAUUUCUUCUCGCUCAGGAAAGCCCCAAGAGCAUUUAGCACUUAACUAGUUUGGUAUUUUUCAUUGUUCCUGUGAACACGGAAAAUUCCUGAAACGAAAGAGACAAGAACAACGUGCACAAACAAAUAUUUGUAUUUUUGAUGAUUUUGGGUUACAAUCUCUCUCUAUUUUGAUCCUCUGAUUCGAUCUCCGUAAGGUGUUGAUUUGUGGGAUGUGCAAUUGAUCCAAGGGCCGUUGAGGCUUGAUCUUGGAUGAACGAGGAUGAACGGAUCUUCAAGGGCUUUUGGGCUUGAUCUUGAAGAAUGGUGAUUGACGGAUCUUCAAGGGCUUUUAGGCUUGAUCUCGAAGAACAGUGAUGAACGGAUUUCCGAUGGCUUUUGGGCUUGAACUCGAAGAACAGUGACGAACGGAUCUUCGAGAGCUUUUGAGCUUGAACGGAUCUUCGAGGGCUUUUGGGCUUGAUCUCGAAGAACAGUGAUGAACGAUGAACGCUUUCUUCAAGGGCCGUCGGGGCUUGGGCUUGAUGAACAGCGGAUGAGUGGAUUUGUUGGUGUUGUCGAUCCAAAGGGGCCGUUGGGGCUUGAUCCUUGAGGAUGAACAGUUGAUGAACGAUGAACGCUUUCUUCAAGGGGCCGUUGAGGCUUGGGCUUGAAGGUGGAUGAUUGUUGAUCCAAGGGCCGUCGGGCUUGAUCUUGGAAGAACGAUGAACGAAGAACGCUUUCUUGAUUCUUCGGGAACCUGGAUGCUUGAGAGCUUCGGAGUUUCAGAGCUUCAGAGCUUCAAGAGUUUUGCCUAAUGAUUUUUGGUUCUUCAAAUGAAUGAAAUGGGCUUGUAUUUAUAGAAUUUUCCAAGGCCUAAUUUUGAAUAUAAUAUCCCAGAUGAAAUAAGUCGUUUCUGCCAGGUGUUGACACGUGUCUUAUUUGAUGACUUUUCCAACUCAUUUCAAUUUUCGUUGAGUCACAUGCUACGUGUAAAAUUUAUGCAAUACAUGAGCGUUGACACUUUGAUUUAUCGGUCAACAUUUAUUUACCGAAAUUUCGAUGUCUACAAAUGCCCCCACUUCAAGGCACGUCGUAUACAUGUGCUUGUCACGUGUAGGAGAUGCGUUUUGAAGUCCCUUACUGUAGAUGUCGAUCCAAGGGCCGUCGAGGCUUGAUCUUGAAUUGGGCUGGAGAUUUCUUCAAGGGCCGUUGAUGCUGAUCUUGAAUUGGGCUUGAGAUUUCUUCAAGGGCCGUUGAGGCUUGAUCUUGAAUUGUUGUUUGAAAUUUCUUCAAGGGCCGUCGAGGCUUGAUCUUGAAUUGUUGUUUGAAAUUUCUUCAAGGCCGUCGAGGCUUGAUCUUGAAGGUUGAAAUUGGACCACAAGGAGCUUCAUGUGGUAGAUGAUCUUUGGCUUUGGUAGUGGGUGAAUCCACACGUAUUUUGUUGCGAUUUGUUGACUUUCCACAGCUUUGAUCUUGAACUGGGUUGAAGGAUUUUCUAGAUUCCUCCAAUUGUUGAUUUUCCACAGCUUAUUCUUGAACUAGGUUUUGAUUCAAGGGUGGUAGACACUUAAUCUUGAAUCGGACUUGUGAUUUCUUCCAGGGCCGUCGAGGCUUGAUUUCGAAUUUGGCUGGAAGCUUCUUCAAUGGCUUUUGGGGCUUGAUCCUUGAAGGUUGACUUGAACACAUGACAAGCAGGCACGAGGUGAAGGUGACGACUUGUUGCUCUGUUCAAUCUUUCUAAUUCACACCUGAGCAGUUUGGUCAACGGUAUGAUCUUCAAGAUUGAUGGGCUUUUCUUCCAGUUGGUGACUUGAUCUUUAAGGAUUCGAUUCAAGGGUGGUGAAUCGGCACGUGCAGCCCACAACGCCUAGUAAGUCGACCCAAGAAUUUGAGGGUCAAAACGAGUUCACCGUCCUCAGGCAAAUGCGGCAUCUUCUCGAGUUCUUCAUCUCAGACUCUUUCUGCUGAGUUAACUGUGCAUGCUGCAUUCUUCUCUGCUUGUUUCUUCAGCACGUUGUCUCCACAUGCUGCAAGGUAUCAUUUUCACUUGCCUUAUCUAUUCUUCAGGCAGAUGUGGUAGCUUCUUUGGAAGUACAGCAGCAGUGGGAGACGAGUACUCGAGAGCAGUGCUAGGUAGGCAAUCAGGGAAGGGUUCCAAGCAGUCGGUUCCUUACCCGAGUUUGAGUGGAAGUUCCGGCAUAUUGUUUUCUUUAUCCUUGUCUUUGUAGGUAAAAACAAGGACAAAGGAAAGGACAGGAAGAACGCAUGAUAUGAGAUACUCUUGCUUUCUACCCUGGUGAUAUGAGAUACUUUUGCUUUGGAGUCAUUGGCUUGCAGAGGUACCCCAAGGAAUAAAGAACAUUGAAUGACUCGAGAGGCUUCGUUGGGAAAGCAUUUUUGGAGAUGAAGAAAAGCUCUGUGUGUCUGCCUUGCUAUGGAAGGUGAAGGUGGACAGUUAUAGGAGGUCUCUUAAUACCUGUAGAGGUAGUAUUCUUUCACUUGUGUCGGCAACUAACGCGUGAUUGAACAGUAAACUUUCACGUGCUUUCUCCUUCACAGAAAAUCUUCGACAAAUUGCCCGUGAUUUGCGCAAAGUUGAGUGUGCAUAUGACAGGUGAUGACGCGGCCGAAAAAGACUAGCGCCUCUUCGAUAACUGGGAUCGGCGCUUCGACAAAUUACCCGUGAUUUCCGCAAAGCUGAGUUUGCGUGUGAUGGGUGCUGACGUGGCUGAAAAAGACUGGCGCCUCUUCGAUAUCUGGGAUCGGCGCUUCGACAAAUUGCCCGUGAUUUUCGCAAAGCUGAGUUUGCGUGUGACGGGUGCCGACGCGUCUGGAAAAGCAAGAUGCUUCUCCGAUUUCUGAGCUUGCCUCUUCGAUUUUUGAAUGGCCUCUUCGAAUUUUGAGCUCGCCUCUUCGAUCUCUGAAAUCCCGUCGAGUGCUGAUUUUUUUAUAGAGGCAUGCAGUUCGUUUCAAAGCACACUUGAAUUUUCGCUUGUGAAAACUCCCCUCUUGUACUUCUAAGAUCUUGAUUUGUCCGAUCUCUUCUUCCUUCAACACUUUGAAAAUGUCUGGACCAUCUGACCGUCGUUUUGACUUGAAUCUUGGUGAAGAGGCAGUCCCGCCUUCUCCAGACAACAUAUGGCGCCCAACCUUCAUAUCCCCCACUGGUCCUCUUACCGUUGGGGAUUCGGUGAUGAAGAAUGAUAUGACCGCUGCGGUGGUGGCCCGGAACCUUGUCACUCCCAAAGAUAACAGACUACUUUCCAGGCGGUCUGAUGAGUUGGCUGUUAAGGAGUCUCUGGCCCUUAGUGUGCAGUGUGCGGGUUCUGUGUCCAACAUGGCCCAACGCCUAUUUGCUCGAACCCGUCAAGUUGAAUCGUUGGCGGCUGAAGUGAUGAGUCUCAAACAGGAGAUUAGAGGGCUCAAGCAGGAGAAUAAACAGUUGCAUAAGCUCGCACAUAGCUAUGCGACAAACAUGAAGAGGAAGAUUGACCAGAUGCAGGAAUCUGAUGGUCAGAUUUUACUUGAUCAUCAGAGGUUUGUGGGUUUGUUCCAGCAGCAUUUACCUUCGUCUUCUGGGGCUGUACCGACUGCUGAGGCUUCAAACAGUCAACCUCCGGCGCCUUCUCUUCCUAGAGCUCUGCCGAGUUGUGAGGCGCCACCUGAUCGUCCUUGAAUAUCCCCUCUUGUAAAUUUGAUUUGAUUUGAUUUUUUUUUUUUUUUUUUUUUGGUAUGUAGAAGAAUGCAUUUUAUGUAAAUUUUUAAAAUGGUUUUUUUUUUUUUUUUUUUUUUUUUGCACAUGGUGCCAGAUGCCAUCCAUUUUUUUUUUAUUUUCCCCUGUUUUAUUUUUUUUGCACAUGGUGCCAGAGCACCACCAAUAUUCAAACAAUUUUUUUUCUUUAAUCAUGGUGACAGACGCACCAAAGAUCAAACUUUUUAUUUUUUUUAUUAUUAUUUUUUUUUUUCCUUUCUGCACAUGGUGCCCAUGCACCACCAGAAACUUUCGAUCUGUCAUGGGGGCUGUUCCCCAUCUUUGAUCCACCAUCCCAUUUUCUAUUUAUUAUUAUUUUUUUUAUAAAUUUCGAUGAUGGGCUGAGGAAUUUGCAGGGAAGGAUGAAGGCGCAUGGAGAGCACGAAGGUGACCUUGAUGUCGGAUCCAGCUAGAAUCCAGAGCACAGCCACUGAGCCCAACCACAGAGCACAGCCACCGUACACCCAUCGCACUGCCAGCAUCUUCACUGCACUACCAUCUAUACUGCCUGUUGAACUUGCUGCACUGCCUUGUCGUCCUUGCACUGUUUCCUUGCUGCACAGCAUCGCCGUCGCACCGUCGCAGCAUAGCCUUUGCCAUUGCACUGUCCACUGCAUCUCCACUGCACCAUCCCCAUUCCCAUUGCUUCUGCACCGCACACUGUUUUGCAUCUUCACUGCGCUGUUUCCUUGCUGCACAGCCUUGUCGUCCUCACUGCACAAAGCAUUGCACAAAACCGCACUGCCCUAUCUCGCUUGCUGCUGCACCACUGUACCUUUACUGCACCCCCACUGCCUUCCCCGCACUGCUGCUGCAUCACCACUGCAAGGGGAGAGACAGAUUGACAGCGCUUCCGAAGCUUCUUCGCCACCGUCAACAGCGCCAAUCUUCGCUCUCUUAGUUCGGCAAAAGCUUCAGGAUCAUUUGCGAGUCCAAUGACCGAGUCAUGAAGAUGGAAAGCAUGGAUCCUGCAGCACCAACCCAAGUCACAACUUCAAGCCGAGUCAGAGACACCAAUCUAAGUUACAACCUUCAAGUCCAGUGACUGAACUUGAAGAUGGAAAGCAUGGAUCCUGCAGCACCAACCCAAGUCACAACCUCAGUCUUGCACUUCUUCCUUCUUUCGACUAGCUGUGGGAGACCAACCGAGAGAAGCAGCAGCAGUGAUAACACCAGCUACAACAGCAGAAUUCCGGUACUUGUCAGUCGAUACCUUGGCAGUUGACGCUCCAGAGGAAGAGGCAUUUGGUUUGGCAUCAGAGACUGAGCCUCCUGAGCUUCCAGCUGAUAGAUCUGCUCGUUCAGAAAGCGGCAACUGUUAGUCGUUGAUCCUGAUCGUUGGGUGCGGUAAAAGCACCACCGUUCUGGGGCGUCGUCGAAGUCUCCGGGUUCCGAUUCGCCGAGUUCGACCCCACGCUCUUCCCAAGCUCCACCCCUUCAUUCUCAACCACUGCCAUAGCUCUUUCUCUCUCUCUCUCUUCCCUUUUCCGAAAAAAGAGUUCCUUUUCGGAUUGGAUUUGGGAUCCAACCUCUCUUCUCUGUUGUGAAGAUCGGGGGAGGUGUUGACGGGAUCCAUGCUGUGGACAAUGAGGGGACUUGAAGUAGAUGUUGAAGUAGAUGGUGAAGAUGCUGUUUAGCGGUAGUUUCUGUAGACGGGACUGUACAUGCAACUCUCGGCAUGCUUCACAAGAUUCUCAGGACGAGGGAGACGCGUAGCCACGCCAAGGUCAUAUGCCUUGGCAGCUACAUUAGCAGCUACUUGGGCAGAAAUCUUUUUCUGAUGUUCGACAAUGGUGGAUAGAUCAGCCCCUGUGCAAAAUUCUCCUCGAAAACUUGCCCCGCCAAGGCUUCCGAGGCUGCCAGAAGCAUGUCAUCGUGAACACGGAUUGCUCCAGAGAUAACCAAACCCAGACCAAAUCCAGGAAAAAUGUAUGCAUUGUUGGACUGGCCAGGAACAAAAACUUUGUCCUUGUACUCAACAGGAUCAAAUGGGCUUCCGCUGGCAAAAAUUGCGCGCGACCCACACUGUAAGUAUAAGCUUCUUCAGCGGUACAUUCAGAUUGUGAUGUUGGGUUGGAAAGAGCCAAAAUGAGAGGUUUCUCAUUGAAGGACGAUACUGCUUCAAUCACCUCCUUUGUAAAUGUUCUUCCAACACCAGAUGAUCCAAUAAGAACUGUUGGUUUAAUUGCCUUGACCGCAUCCAAAAGAUUAUCAACAGGCUCAUGCUCAUGAGCCCAAGGCUGCGUAAAAUGUUGAAGAGAAUCUUUACGAGAGAUAACAAUCAAUCCUUUUGAAUCAACAAGUCAGAUCUUCUUACGGGUUUCUCCCACAGGAACUUUUGUCCUUUUCGAGAUCUCAAGAGCUAUUAGUUCUGCUAUACCGGUACCAGCUUCUCCAGCGCCAAGGAACAAAAACCUAUGCUCAGACAGGGAACCACCGAUUAACUUCAGUGCUGCCACAACUCCUGCAAGAACUACAGAUGCCGUCCCCUGUAUGUCAUCAUUGAAGACGAGAUGAGAUGCUCUAUAUUUGGCCAGCAGCUCGAAAGCAUUGUGGUUUGCAAAAUCUUCGAACUGUACAAUAACUUUUUUCACCAUAGUUCUGCUUGGGACUUCUUCAACCUUUUGCAGUUUUUGGCGAGCGACGUCAUCCCAGCAUCGGUCAACUCACGGCAUGCGCGGAUCUUCAGGCGCGUGAGGUUACGGCAUCGCAGAAAUGAGGACGAGCGCCUCGUCGCCGACGCUGACGGAUCUGCGGUCGCAUUUGAGGGCGAGCUUGGUGACGGCGCGGUGGAGCGAAUUGAUGGCGGUGAGCCGAGCGGAGUCAUCGUCGUCGGAGUUAGAGGAUGGGACGGAGGCGGAGGCGGAGGCGGAAUCGUCCUUGGGGAUGGCGACGGAGAGAAACGCCGCGAGUUGCUGCUGUUGGUGAUGGAGUCCUUGCAUCGUUAUCUUGCUGCUGACGCUGCUUCUGCACUAGAAGCAUCUCUCAUUCUCUCACUCAACUGAGUCGGCUCUGGAACUCUGACUCGGGUUUUCUGAUUGGUUUAUCCGCAGCUGCGGUUGCUCUGCGCUGUCUCUGUGUCUCUGGACUCAACCUGAUCCGUCUUCUGCAGGUGGUGGGACUGGGCCUGUGAAUUGAGCUUUCUGCUGCUGGGCCGAGACACAAGUGAGGAUGGGCCUGUCAUUCUGGCUGCUCUUUUCUGUGGACUUCAACUUGUGUUUAUUUGAUUUGGCACGGGUCUUAAGUGUAGGAAGACCCACAUUAAUAUGUAUACAUUUUUUUUAUUUUUUAUUUUUAUUAAUACAUAAAACAUAUGUAUUUUUUUUUCUCUUUUUUUUUAAAUACAUAAAACAUGUAUCUUUUUUUUUUUUUUUUUUUUUUUUUUUUUUUUUUUUUUUUUUUGCAUUUGUAAAAACAUAAUAACAUAUGUAUUCAUUUUUUUUCUUUUUUUUUAAAAUAAAAUUGACUUUAUUUAAUAAAACAUUUUUUUUUUUGAUGUGACUGAACUCGAAAUUUUGAAUAUUCAAGCUGCCUACGUACCCCUCCAAAGAAGAGAUCAAGUCGUAACGUAGUUCAAAUACAUAUUUUUUUGGAUUUUUUUUUUUGUGCCGUUUGCAGUUUCAGCUCAUGCAGGCAAGGAGUGUUGGUGUCGUUUGCAGUUUCAACUCAUGCAGACAAUGAGCAUUUGGUGCCGUGUUGCAGUUUUCAAGGAGCGUUUUUGCCUCAUGGUCGUGCAGACCAGGAGCUUUGGUGUUGCCUUUUAUGCUCGUGCAGACCAUGAGCGUUGUGCCAUGCAGUUUAGGCUCAUGCAGGCGAGGAGCUUCGUGUCCUACAGUUUAGGCUCGUGCGGACAAGGAGCUUUGGUUCAUGCAGUUUAGGCUCGUGCGAACAAGGAGCACUGUGAAUUUGUCAAACGAUCCGGGAUAGUUGUUCCUCGCAAUUUUCAUAGCAAGGAGUCUUGACCGAGUGAUUGAAGAAGUCUUCAGGAAAGAAAUCACGCAUCGUGAUGGGGAUGGAUGAUCUAUGUGUUGCAAUUUCAUCAUCUUCAACACGUUCACGUUGCUUUGAAGAUUGACAAGAGCUGCUUUGCCCCCUUUCUGAUUGGCGGACUUGUGGAGGAGACGUAUGUUUCUUGUGCAAUUUCUUAGGAGUGACUUGAGUCAAUCCUUCAACUUUGCUUGUCUUGGAGGAUGCCCCCAGCGGUUGAGGUGAAAACUUUGAGUCGGAAGGGCCAGAAGUGAAGGUGGUAUAGUUUGACUUCGCCACUUCGUCAAGAUCUAGCUCGAUGAUUCCUUUCUGAGCCAGCUUUAUGAUGAGAUCUUUCAGCACGAAACAUUUUUCUGUCGGAUGACUGAUGAAGCGGUGGAAUUUACAGUAUCUUGGACUGUCGGUACGAUUCAUCUCUUCCGGCCGUCUGCACUCAGGCAAACUGAUCACCUUCUUGUCCAACAGGUCAUCUAGCAUGGCAACCACAUCAGAGUCGGGGAAUGGAUUAAGUCUUCUCCUCAAGCUCCUUCAAAGUGCGUCUACGUGUCUCUUGAUCACGAAAAGCUUCGGUUUGAAUCGCCUUGCCUCGUGUGGAUAUUUUGACGGGAGAUGUGUUUGACCGUCAUCGCUUCCUUGGUGGGUUUUCCAUGCAGCCUUUUCCACCUUUGUCCCAAGAACUUUGUCGUUCUUGUAGUCGGCGAUCGGUUCUUUCUUCCCAUGAUGGGCGAUGCUCAACUCCAUGUCAUGGGCGCGAGUGGCCAAUUCCUCGAAGGUCCGUGGUUUAAUGCCUUGAAAUGUAUUGAUGUAUUGCAAACCCCAUUGCAUGCCUUGGAUGCACAUCUCGAUUGAAGAGGUUUCUGAGAGCUUGUCUUUACAGUCGAGGCUUAGAGUGCGCCAUCUGUUGAUGUAGUCAAUGACUGGCUCGUCCUUCCACUGCUUUGUGCUCGUUAGUUCUAGCAUGCUCACAGUGCGGCGGGUGCUGUAGAAGCGGUUGAGGAAUUCCCUUUCCAACUGUUCCACAGCCAGCUGUUGAUGGACUCAGGCUCUAGGUCCGUGUACCACUCACUCAAAGGCGUUUUCCUUUCAGCGAGCGCACAAACUGCUUGGCUUGGCGAGGUAAUCUCCCUCCGUCCCCGCAUUGUUGCAAGUUUCGACGAAAUGUGCAAUGUGCUGCUUUUUUGGGUUUCCUUUUCCAUCAAACUGCAUGAACUUUGGUGGUUGAUAUCCCUCGGCAUCUUUAGGGCAUCAUCAAUCUUCUUGGAAUAGGGCUUCGAGUAGAACAAGGAGGUAUGUGAGCUCUCCCUUCGUACUGUGCCUUGAUGGUAUUGGUGAUCAUCUCCUGCAGCUGCUGGAUAGAAAGAGAUGCCAUGAGUGCCGCUGCUGCUUGGUCUGGCUCCGGCUUCGCAUCGUUUUUCUCCACCUGAGGCUCUUCUUCUUCAUCAUCUCUUCUCUUUAGUGGAUCAUUCUCUGGGUCUGGGUGGGUUUAUCGCCGUCCUGCGCCUCUAGUCGAUUGACGAGUGCUGGCAAUUUGCAAGUCUUUUCUCCACAGUUCGGGUUAGCCUUGCGAUUGCUUCAUUCAUCUGAGCCAGCUGCUCAUCGAUUGAAGUUGCUCCAAUGGUCAUGACUUGCAUGGCUGCACUGCCGCUUGAAUCGCAUCGGAGAGCAUGGAUAUUCGGAGUAUUUCCUUGGGCUUCCCCCUUUGGUGCCCUUAGUGAGGCUAAGGUGAUCAAAGGCUCGUGCCUUGGGUGCUUUUGUUCCCUUGGCAGAGUUGAUGCAGAGAGGUGAAGAGAGGCGGCAGAAGUAGCUCUUGCCAUGCUUUCGAGUCGUGAUGCCCAAAGUGACACCAGUUGCGACGAGGACGCUCUUGUUCUUUGCGCCGGUUGCGGGAACAGAUUGAGCCUUCCUUGAUGCCAUUAAUUUUGGAAGUGCGCUUGAAUUUCUUGAACGGAGAAAGAGAUGAGAGGCAGAGACAGUCCCACUGGGCGUGCCAAUUUGUGAACACGGAAAAUUCCUGAAACGAAAGAGACAAGAACAACGUGCACAAACAAAUAUUUGUAUUUUUGAUGAUUUUGGGUUACAAUCUCUCUCUAUUUUGAUCCUCUGAUUCGAUCUCCGUAAGGUGUUGAUUUGUGGGAUGUGCAAUUGAUCCAAGGGCCGUUGAGGCUUGAUCUUGGAUGAACGAGGAUGAACGGGAUCUUCAAGGGCUUUUGGGUUUUGGGCUUGAUCUUGAAGAAUGGUGAUUGACGGAUCUUCAAGGGCUUUUAGGCUUGAUCUCGAAGAACAGUGAUGAACGGAUUUCCGAUGGCUUUUGGGCUUGAACUCGAAGAACAGUGACGAACGGAUCUUCGAGAGCUUUUGAGCUUGAACGGAUCUUCGAGGGCUUUUGGGCUUGAUCUCGAAGAACAGUGAUGAACGAUGAAACGCUUUCUUCAAGGCCGUCGGGGGCUUGGGCUUGAUGAACAGCGGAUGAGUGGAUUUGGUUGGUGUUUGUCGAUCCAAAGGGGCCGUUGGGGGCUUGAUCCUUGAGGAUGAACAGUUGAUGAACGAUGAACGCUUUCUUCAAGGGGCCGUUGGGCUUGGGCUUGAAGGUGGAUGAUUGUUGAUCCAAGGGCCGUCGGGCUUGAUCUUGGAAGAACGAUGAACGAAGAACGCUUUCUUGAUUCUUCGGGAACCUGGAUGCUUGAGAGCUUCGGAGUUUCAGAGCUUCAGAGCUUCAAGAGUUUUGCCUAAUGAUUUUUGGUUCUUCAAAUGAAUGAAAUGGGCUUGUAUUUAUAGAAUUUUCCAAGGCCUAAUUUUGAAUAUAAUAUCCCAGAUGAAAUAAGUCGUUUCUGCCAGGUGUUGACACGUGUCUUAUUUGAUGACUUUUCCAACUCAUUUCAAUUUUCGUUGAGUCACAUGCUACGUGUAAAAUUUAUGCAAUACAUGAGCGUUGACACUUUGAUUUAUCGGUCAACAUUUAUUUACCGAAAUUUCGAUGUCUACAGUUCCUACAUAAAACAAUGCAACGUCUGAAUGUUUUUCAGUCACGACCUGUGCAAGAAGAUACUUUGAUGGAAACAGUUUAUGAAUAUAGAUGCCCAUUGCCCCAUUCAAUCAUCCAAUUCAUCCCUAAAAUUCUGCCAAGGAUUUUGUCAACAAUGUCCUUAUCGUAUUUUCUUUUCAUAAAACAAGGCUUAAUCAGAUACAUGAUUUCUAUGGUAAUAGAGUAUUCGAAAGAUAGCUCAUAUAGUGAAGAAAAGAAAAGUAAUAAUUGAACCCUGGUGAUUAGAGAUAUAAAGGAUUAGGAUAGGCCCUUCCCCCGAGCCUUAAAACAAUAGGCCUUCCUUCCCAUUUUAGCUCACCGAUUCAUCCAGAACCAAUUUCAUGUAAUUUGGCUUUGUUUUUCUUACAACUUGAAUUGUUUGAGUCAUUUCAUUAAUUGGGUUUUUAUUGUUUCUUUGUUUUGGGUUUUAAUGAGUUCAGUUGGAAGAAUCCCCACCGAAUUAUGUUUGGGUUUUGAACUCAAAUUUCUCUUGCCCAAAAAUAAAUCAAAGAAAUAUAAACAGAAGAAAGCAUCAGAGAGACAAAAUUUGCAGUCAAAAUCGUUCUACACGCCUACAAAUCUGUGAGAGUUGAGAUGUGGGUUAUCAGUGGAGGCUGUUGAUGCACAAAAUCAGUGAGGACUUUAGUACAACAGAAAGUGUCAAGUUUGUGACCUUCGCUAGAUUGCUCCGGUCAUUAGUGUGGAUAAGUAUGUAAAUGGAUAGAUACAGGGAAGCAAGCACAAGAUGUACGUGGUUCAUCCAGAUUGGCUACGUCCACGGAGUAGAAGAGUUCUCAUUAAUUGUGAAGGGUUUACACAAGUACAUAGGUUCAAACUCUCCUUUAGUGAGUACUAGUGAAUGAUUUAGUACAAAUGACAUUGGAGAUUAUUGUGGGAGAAUGAUCUCCUUUUAUAGAAGAGAGUUUCUAGCUUUGUUCUGGCCUUGACAUGUGUCAUGCUGUGAUUGGCCUCUUGGUGUUGACACGUGUUGCGCUGUGAUUGGCCUCCUGGUUGGAGGGAAACUCUUAUGUGUCAUUGACGAUAUAACGUUGACUGAUGCUUGGUAGUUUCGGGAUUGAUCAAGUAUGGUACAAACAGAGGCGAAAUGAGAGUUCUCCAAUUUGCCAAUGUGAAAGAGAAAGACAUGGAAUGGGUUAACAAAUGAAAGGUGACUAAUUUAACUUUGCAUGUGAGACUCACGGGCAGCAUAUUAACGAUACUUAAAAUAAUUUUUAACUUGGGGUUAAAUUUCUAACAGUCCUCACCACAAGGGUUUAUUUCUUAAUUUGUUUACUACAGGGGAUAUUUUCCGAAUACUAUAUCAUUACGGGGACCAUUUAUCCGAUUUAGCUUGCCAAACAAAGAAAAAGCAAUUAACGUCAAACAUCAAUUGUGCUUCAAGUGAUAUGAAUUAUUUUUUUAUUUUUUUCAUACGUAUGGCAAAGUCUUGCAUUGUAUAUUAGUCUAGGUACCAUAGUGUAGGUAUAAUAUUUUCUUAUUAAGUGCAUUAGUUUAGGUAUAUUACAUGUUUAGAGGCAAUGGAUUAGUCUAGGUAUAAUAGUGUAGGUACAAUCACACUUCUGUAUAAUUUUCCCAAUGAUUGAAAUAUAAUAUGUUUUUACAUGGAUUGACAAAGAUGAAUAUAAAAUGGUUUAAAUUUGGAAGGAGGAUCAAAGUAGUUUAGUUGAUGCUCAAAUAUGCAAAGUUCAAUCUAUUUAAAAUAAUAAGAAAUCAAGCUAUAAAUUAUUAUAUAUCCUAAAACUCAGUUGAGUUUUAGCACCCUUCAAAAAUAGUAUAAGGGCGGAAAUACGCUUGAUUUGUUUGGAGUUUAGGUGCUGCUGAAUUGCUCUUGUACAAUUAAGUGUCAUUUUUGCCCCCACUAGAUGGGCUGUCUUCAGCUUUCCGAAAAGUCCUACGCCGUUCUCAUCAAAUUUCCACCUAGAUCAAACUGCUCUCUCAUUUUUCAUCUCUCUCUCAAAUUAUCUGUGCGAAAUCAGCGAGCCUGUUUUUGGUUGCUACAAAUUUAUUGCGUUCAAAAACCCUCAAUCGCUACCAAUUUAGUUCCUUUUUUGGAUUUAUCAGAAUCAAUUUUUUGAGUCAGAGGUCUACAGUUACUGGGUGAGUUUUUUUUACUUCUUUGGUAUCGUUGUUUUAAAGUUUUCUUGGUGGUUUUCGAUGUUCAGAUGCUUUUUGCAUAUGAAUUUUGGAUGGUUUUGUAUAUGAAUUUUGUUUUUAUAAUAUUAGGUAUUUUGUUUCUAUCCUUAGAUUUUAAUAUUUUUUGGGGUAAAAUAUUUAAUUACAUCAUGUUAUGGGUUUUUAUGGGUUCAAUUGGCAGUUCUGAUUUUCCUUUGGUUUUAAUCUUCUCUUGCUUCUCUCAGGUGUAUCUCUGGAAUUAUCCUUUGGUUUCCAUCACCAUCACCCAACCAAUCCAUCAUACUCAUCAUUACACCCCACUAAUUGCUCUCUCACUCUCUCCCACCCCUCAUUUACUCUCUCAUUACACUCAAAUUUUGGAUUUUUCAAGAAAGGCAGUCUGAUUUGGAGAAGACUUCUCAAGCGGUUAUAAUUUCAUGGUAGGUUGGUUUAAGGCAGUUCCAAAAUUUAGGAUCGUUUGGGAUAUUUUUAGUUUUUUUUUUCUAAUUCUUGAAAACCCAUGGUUAAGAGUAAAUUUAUUAUAUUUUAAUUUUUAUUGAAUUCAGGUAACCAUCGUCAGUUUUUCGGUUUGAUUUAAAGGAAUUUUUAGUUAGAAAAGCUAGGGCUUUGCAGUUAGUUCUUCGGGUUGUACCUCCGGGUGGUUUAAAUUUGUUUAAAUUUGAGUUUUUGUGAUUUGGGAUUUAUAAAUGGAUUGAAAUUUACGUUUUUUUUUAUUUCAAUUCCCACUCAGAAGUUUGUACUCCCUCAUCAUUAGAAUUGUUUCCUUCUGCUCUUCUUCUCGAAACAAGGUCACAGAUCCACAUGCCAUCAAGGUAUGUUGUUUAAUUAUAUAUUGUACAUGUAUUUAUUGUAUUGUGCAUGUGUGUGAAUGUGUUUUUCUCUGUUAAUCUGUAUUGGUUUUCUAUUCUGAUUUAGUUAAUCGGGUUUGUUUUUAUUUCAGUUGUUUGGUUCAUGCUAAAGUUAUUGAACGGUAGAACACCGGAACCAGUGAUCUUUCAAAAGGGUUGGUUCUUCUAUAUAUUUUUAUCCUUUUGGUCGUUUUGAAUGGACUUCCUGUAUUCUAAAUGAAGCUAAAUUGAAUAGUUGUUUUUGUAUAUUGUAUUUGCUUUGUUAAAUUAGUUCUUUUUUGUUGAAAAAUGUUAUUUAGUUUUGCAGAUCAAAGUUUUUCAGCAAGAAAAAUAUUUGGCAAAUUAAAUUUAGAUAUGAAUACUUACAUUUAUUUAGCAUUUUCCAUUCGUCUUUACUUUUAGUGCAUUGUGGUUGUAAAUGUCAUUUAGUGCAUUGUGGUCUUAAUUUAAUUGCGUGGUUGGUUUCAGGAUUUCUUGAGUCGAAUAACAGCUUGGGUGAUCAAAAGGUAAAAAAGUAGUUGGUCUCUGCUUGCAAGAUGACUUCUUUCUGUUGCCAAAAUUAGACUAACCGUAAUCAACCCAAUUAAGUCCAAAUUUUAAUGCUCGCAAGUGUACGAAUCUUUAAGUAUAGUAGGCAAGCACAAGAUCGUUCCAACUAAGAUUGAAAUAAUUUUAAUUAUCUAACUUAAUUUGUAUUGCACUUGAAUUGAAAUGGAAAAAUUAAUGAUUUGAGAAAGAACUUCGAAAUUGUAAAUGUAAACAAAAAUCAAAUGAGCUUAAAUAAAUGACAAGAACAACAAAGAAAUCAAAUUAUAAAUCAAUUUCGAAAAGCACUAGAGCAUCCGAUUCACCAUAACCAAUCCAACUCAAUUCCUAUAGUUAAUUAUUAAUGAGUAAUCAUCCAAAUUGACGGACUAGUUUCUCUAACUCAUAUAGUAUCCAUGGCAUCUAGAUUACUAUGUAUACUCAUAUGUGCUAAUAGUCUAUGGCAUCUAGAUUACUAAACACACACAAGUUCAUUAACGAUUUGAGAACUACUUAAGAGCCUGCAUGAAACCUAGUGUAUGGCAUCUACAUCAAGGAAUUCAUGGUACCAUUUGCAAGACGCUAAAACCGAAUUAACAACAUGCCAUCUGUGUUAACUCGCAUCAAAUACACUCAACUCAAAUAAAAGUGGUGGCCAAUCACCAAGAUUAAAAUCAAGCUCAUAAGCACAGCAAAAUGAUACUUAACUUGAAUAAAAAUUCAUAAAUAGUUAAACUGAGAAAUUAUGAAUUCAUAAUUAGGCUACAUCGUAGCCCUAGCGAAAAGAAAUUAGUUCCGGAACAUAAUUAGAAAAAUGAUUGAAUUCAUAAAAUUAAAAGAAAAAUAAGUUUAGAAAAGCCUGAAAAUCCCUUUGCUUGCCGCUGUCUUCUUCUCAUUUUCUUCUCUUGUUAUCUGCUUCCCUUUUUAAAAUUGAUCAGUUCUCUUUUUCUUCUUUUUGCUCUUCUGUUUUCAUUUCCCUUUUUCGUAACCGACAACGGCUUAAAAGCCCAUUUAUUGAAAACAUUAGAAGAAAAGAAACGGAAGAAACCUUUUAACUCCUUGCUAGACACUUCGUGUGUUUAGACACCUUGAUCAAAGCUUGAAAGACUAGAACGCCUAAAUCACACUCAAGUUGGUCUACUUGCUGCAACGAGGCCUCCACAUUGUCCUUUUCUACCCUGCUAGAUUCCAGCUGGAAAUUUCAUCUCCAAAGUGAUAUAUCAACCAAAUUUGAAAGUACCCAAAUCUCCAUUGCAAUUGAUGAGAAUUAAAGAUAAAAAAUGCCCAAUUCAUGCUUCCACCGCAAAUCAACAAACUGGAGAGUGGAAUAGAAAUAUGGAUUUUCAUUCUUCUUCAAUUUUGAUAAGCUGCAGUGCGCCGGCUUGCUCCUGGAAAUUGGGAGAGAAAAACAACCCUUUUCUUCUGUCGGUGCAAAUAUGAGGAUAAAAGCAUUUGUUUUGUUGAAGCGGUCACGUGAUUGUCAUCCUUUUAGUGUGCAAUAAGGAACCUGCUUAAAAAUUGAUUAAUAGGAAAUGAGUCUUCAGGGGGACCCAACUGGGAUAAGUCAAAGUAGACUAAUAAAUGGUAAAUACAAAUAGUCGUCUAAACACCAUUUUACCAAACAUAAUUAAACACCACCAGACUAAAAUGAAAAUCAUAGAAACAUAGCAUAAUUUUCCAUAUCAUUAAUCUAAUCUUAAAAACACCAAAACAUGUCAUUUCUUUCAUUUAAAUCCGAAAUUGUAGUUUUCAGAGUACAAUAAAUGAUAAAAUAUGCGCUCAUCACUUUCCAUGCACGUCCUCCCUCUAAGUCAACUGAGGAUUCAAAUCCAGCGGAUCCAGCUCGAGAUAUAGAUAGCACAAUUCCAACUCUUAAAAAGGUAUAAUUUGUUAAUUUUUUAGUGAUGUGUUUUUAAUGGAAUUGAAGAUUUGGGUAGUGAGUUUUUACAAUGGUGUUAAUUUUUUUAACAAUUUAUAAUGCUAUUUGUAAAAUUUAGUCAGGUUUUUUUUAACAACUAUAAUAUCGUUUGAUUUCAAUUUGUAAUUACUUCUUUUGAUACAUUUAAGCUUAGUUAUGUUAGUAAAUCUUUAUAUCUUAUGUCCAAAUACAUGUACAAUAUAGUAUUUGAUACAUAUGCAGUAGUGUAUAUGUAAAGUUUUUAUAUUGUUGCUGACCAUUUUCAAUGUAAGCAUUUUGUAUGUAGAGUGUGAAAAAUGCCUUCUUCACAAAGGCAAAAUAGAGAACAGAUUCUACUUCAUAUGAAAAUAAGAGGUUAGUUUGAUUGUCAUUGCUUUUUUUUUAUAUGGUUAAAUUCUAAGUUACUUGGCUUACGUGUAAUUUAAUCGCUUGCUUGCCCAAGUUGAAGUCAUUCGUUUUAUUAAUGCUAGUGACCAAAAUCAACCUGAGUUAAUGUUAUAACAAUAUCAUAAUUUUCAUUAGUCUUUGAUUGCCUUAACCCUUUUCUUUUCCGUCUUUACCAAAAUUUCAUGAAAUUUUUGCACAAUUUUUUUUUAUAGAAAUUAAGUUUAUUCACUAUUUUACUGUCUCUUGGUAGAUUUUUUUUUAUUUGUUGUUCAAAAUUAGUAUUGCAAAUUUUAAGUGGUCGAACAUACCCUUUUCAGAUUAGCAUCUAAUAUCUUCUUUAACACAAUUUUUUAUAUUAUAUUAUCAAAAGAUCGUUGUUUUGUAAUUUCAGAACAAUGUGUUGAUGGAACACAAAAAGGAGGAGUCCUUCAACAUGGAACAUGAAGAUGUAAUUAAAGUUUCUACAUAAGCUACUAUAUACUUAAUUAACAAUGACAAUGAUGAAUCUCUUCGCAUUGCAAAGCUCAUCCUCUCCAUUAGCAAUCCUAGACAGUUCGAGGUAACAUCCUCAAUCCAUUUAAUCAAUUUUAUUUGUUUGAGCUAUUAAUUAUCGCACAAACCCAAUUAAAUUUUAAUACAAAAAUUUGAAUUUUGUCUUAAUUUUAAUAGUUGGAGUUAGUAAUAUAUAUCAUUGAUUUAACAUUGUACAGCUAUUCUUCCAUGCUGGUUCCGCAAAUCCAUGUACUCCGACACCUAUAUGUUAGUUAUUGUAAAUAUCUUUGUAAAUAUAUUUCCACUUGAAUAUAAAUAGUGUUGUAUAUUGUACGUAUUUAGAACUCUCUGCAUGUUUUAGUUUUAAAACCCACAGCAACGCGCGGGCACCAUUGCUAGUGAGAUUCUAAAAGUACAAUUUACUUGCAUUUAGUACUAUAGUCUAGUGGUAUUUCUAUUCACUUGUAAGUGAGAGAUCUUAAGUUCGAUUCCAGUCAAAUGCGAAUUUGAACCAUAUUAUUGCUAGCCCGUUGUGAGGUUAAACCAACCCCCUCCUCUUAGUGUAGAUAAUAUCGUUUGUGAAAAAAAUAAAAUAAAAUAAGGUUUAGAUUACAUGCCAACAACAUUGCACAGGAAAUUAAAGAAAAGUAUAACGUUUAUUCUCAAUGAAAAUAACAAUGAUAUGAAUGCUAACAUAAAUACAGGGUUAAAAUACUAAACAUUCUUGAAGUUGGAGUUUAUUACCGAAUCCGGAACACAUACAUUAUACAUGCCUUAGGCCCAAAAACAUAAAGAGUGCAGAAAUCCUUUAUCAUUAUUCUUUAAACAAAUCCUAAAAACUUCCUCAAAAGUGACAGAAGCAAAUAUCAACGCAAAAUGAGUAAACAGUUUAAGACGAACUGAAAGACCAAUGUUUGCUUUUUUGUUUGAUCAAAAAUAUUCCAGCUCCGUAAGUAGAAAUGAAGAUCUCAACAAGAAGGGAAAAUUGCAUCCAUACAAAGGAGACAACCGGAACACUAGCAAGUAAAAUCAUUGGAUACACCAUCCACUUUUUUGCUUCCAGCAUAAGAAAAAGGGUUGAAGAAAACGCGAUCAUCAUGGCAACGAUAGAGGAGAAGAGGGUGAAAAGGCCUAUCAUCAUUUUUGUUGGUAGUGAUUUAAGAAAAUCAUUUUCAGCAUAACGCGAGUUAAGAAUUCCUAAAAAUGUCAGGACUGAAGUUGUGGAAGAAAAAAGUGAAAAGACAUCCGCAACUAUAAAGACCAUAAAUAUCCUUUUAUUUAGGAAGACUGGAAAGCCUGCUUUGCUCCCACCAGGAACUGAGAAUACUGCAAUAAACAUGAUUGUAACAAUAAGAGCAGCUACAACCGUACAAGAAGUUGCAGUUGCUUUCAUUGAUCUUUCACCUUCUUUUGCCAAUUCCUUGUGGUUCUUAGUAAAUAGAUCGCGGGCGGUCAUACCAUCUGGAUGGUUAACAACUUCAAGAAACUUGGAAGGUACAAUUUUCUCCACCUCCUGCAUUUCAGUGAAUAGAAGAAACUUAAAUUUUCUUUAAUUUAUUUUCUUCGAAGGCACUCAAAUCUAACCCCAAGUAAUUAAUACUUUCGUACUCUUACAAAUCCCUGAUGUAUGCCCUUUGACCUUGAAUGUAUAUGCUCAAAUCUAAUCCCAAAUAACCUAACAUUCUGAGUUUGUAACAGUAAUCAAAAUUUCAUUUUUGUGAUUUCAUUUUUAAUUUGGUUGUUUCCUAUUUGAGGUGCAAAUUGCUGUCACAAAUAAUCAAGUUUUAUUUGGUAUAGUUUCCAAAUAAUCAAAAGUAAUAUACCGAUUGACCACGUGGCUAGAACUUUAUACAGUAAAACCUAUUAAUUUAUAGACCUUGUGGAUUGCUUUGGUGAUAAACUCUUUAUUUUUUUUACUUAAAUCUAAACCCUCAUUCAUUUAGUCUAGCUUAAAAUAGUAAUAUUGUUUAUAAAAUUUUUGUUCCAAUUUCGGCCAAUUGUAGUCUAAACUUCGACCCCUAUUUCUUUCUUUCUUCAAAAAAGAUAAAAUGAAUCUAGCCAAAAAUAGACUCUUGCAGAAAAGAAUCAAAAUAAUAUGAUGUGCUCCUUUCGGCCAAUUGUAAAUAGAAAUUAUCUCCGUAGUCAUAAUUAGAUCUCAAACUCGCUAUCGAUGAGAAAAAAAAAAAUAUAUAUAUAUAUAUAGAGAGAGAGAGAGAGAGAGAGAGGAAGAAAUUCUAACCUUAAACCAUUGUAAUUCUCUUUGCAUUUGCAGUGCUGCACAUUGGAUAUGUUUAAGCUGUGCAGGUGGGGAUAACCUCGCUGCUGAAUGUAGUAAAGUAUUGUUGAACUUAUCUACUCUGGAUUCAGUACGAACAUUCAUGAUUUGGAUAAAUUCAUGAAAAAAGUUAUAGACUUUUUCUUGACGGCAUUCAAUGGAAAACUGAAACAUGCCCUUUGCAUUUUCGUCAUAUAUCCCUAAAGCUAGGAUAUUUGCUGUAAACAGCUGACGAAGAAACUCAUCAUUCCCAUAUUCAACAGCUUUGAAGAGUGCUGUUUGUACGGAACUUCCUUGCAUUUGUUUAAGGCUUACACCUUCUGUCAUUUUGCACAUGCCUUGUAAAACUUCAAGGGAUUGGACAUGGAUCUGUUUCAUUUUGUACAUGUGAUCGAUUCCUAGGUUGACAUAGAAAAAUAACUAAUCAUUAAGUUUCAAAAGUGUGACCAAAAGAAGUUCUAAGCGAUGACUGGAUAAAUGUUAAGAGUAAAAUUUGAAUGAAAAGAUUAACAAAGUGUUGACAAGAAGCAUUACCGAAAAGUUUCCGGAGAUUUGAGACAAGCCCUCGCGGUAAAGCCAUAACUACAUUGCAAAUACAAAAUGUUUUGCAUUAGCUAUUCAAAGAAUUUGUUAAUUAGGUAUGAUCUAUAACAAAGUAAAAGAUGCGCCUGAGGUCAUAACUCUCGUUUUACUAUAUAUGUGGAAAAAAAUGCGUAGUGCCAUUUUAUAUGGAUAUUGUAUACCUGAGCGAAUUAUGAGAUCCUUUUGAUCAUUAACCGGGUCAUUGGCUUGUUUUUGAACAUCUAUACGAACAUCACGGAUCUCAGAAGCAUGUCGUAUUUGUAUACCUAUAAAAAAAAUAAACACAUGCCUCUAGUCAAUAUAUAGAACAUUUUUUUAGUCGAGGGUCUGGACACAUUGAACAUUUUCUUUAAUAUUUAUGUCUGUGAAAAGAGAAGUUAAGGUGCAUACCCAAAAUAAAUGAUUAAUGGACACUGAUAACGACAGAAGUACACAUUAAAUUUUUUAACACUUAUUUUUAGACACUAAAAAAUAAACUCAAGAGGGAAAAUAACUUACACUAUAAUAUUUGAGCAAGACCUAAACUAGUGAAGAAAAGCAUAGUGUGGAUACAAAUUAAUCACGUCCAAUCAUAGUGUGUCAAGGGGAAUAUAAGCUCAAUUUGACGGAAUUACCUCCAAUAUCGUGAGAAACCACAAUCUCCACUCUAAGUGGGUUAAGCAGACCAACUCUCAAAGGACCGGCAAAUGCCCACAACUAUCAGGCCCUAACCCCCGAUUCUUGCCAAGCUAGCUAGCAAACAUUUUGUUUUUCUUCGAGGGACAUGGUUGUCGACCCCUUGCACCUCAACCCUAUAUAAAGUUGAGGUUCAAUCAUAAAAUUAACUGACAAUAUAGGGAGUAAUCCAACCCCUUAUAAGUCCUUGCAAGGUUUCUCUUUUCACCAAUGUGAGACUCUUUACCUUCACAUCAUCACACAGCCCCUUACGUGUGAUUAACUUUUGAACCAAAUACGUGGACAACACAAAUUGGGUGAUGUUGAGCACGUGUGACCAUUGAGCUUCAUAACCUACAAGUGUCUAAGCAGGCAAGGGAAGGGAGACUCGUUGACUAGCAUAAGCCCGCUACGGCCUAGUAGAUGAUUUAUGGACCUCUUCCACUAUAAAUAGUCAAGUCAUACAAGGAAACUGGUUUAUCACAAACUCUAUUUAGAAUUCUCUACUGAAUUUUAGUUUUUCUCAAAUACUCUUUGACUUAGACAUCGGAGACAGAAAUUUCCAUCCAGACAUAGAAUGCAUUUUAUUGUUUUAAUUUUUUCAUAUUAAGUAUAAUAUAUAUAUAUAUAUAUAUAUAUAUAUAUAUAUAUAUAUAUAUUUAGGUUUUAAGAUAAAUCAAAUUGCGGGAAUCGUGUGCAUGUCUCCUUGCAUGUAUAACAUAUAGGAAAUAUCUUAUCGAAAAACCGAACGACGCCCACCCAACUAGAGGGAAAGAGAAAUUAAUAAAGUAUAAAAUUCAUCAUAGAAUAAAAAAUGUAGUUACUAACGAUUAUAGAUCCAUUGUUGCCAGAAUCUGAGACGUGUUCCACUUAAAAAGAGAGAGGGCAUACAAGCCAAUUCCUCUAAAAGUGUUUUCCCAGUAGAGUUUGUGGCAAAGGCCAAGUUUGGACAACGCUGAAUUAGAUCCAAUGCAAUAUCUACAAUAGGGAAAAAAAAAAAGAAGAAUUAUAUACAUGGAAAAAAAGAAAGUAAUCAAUAUUUGUUAGGGAACAUGCUAUUUAAACACAUUCUCAAAUACAUGUGAGUUCUAUAAAUAAUGAAACGGUCCACCUUAGUUAUAGUGUGUCAGAAAAUCUGUGCGAAUAUUGUAUCUAAAACAUUUAUGUACCCAGUUCUUUGGAGCUAAAACAGUGGGAAAUAAGAUCAGCACCAGUCCGACAGUUAUCUUGGGUCGACGUCAAAGCUUCCAAUGGAGUAACUGAAUAGAGAUAGCGAGCCAAUCCCCAGUGGCCGCCAUGACAAGCCAUGAUCAGUGGGAUCAUAUUCUGGAGAUUGCAUGGUAUGCAAAGUAAUCUCUUGUUUUUUUCGAUUAUGCAUCUAGCCACUUCGAGUCCUAUUAGCGUAGCUAAAGCUAUAGCUGUGACACCAUUAGCGUCUUCUAUUUCCAAGUCUUCCUUUGUCAUCCACCCCACUACUUCUUUCGCCAUAUAUUCGUUUCCCAUUGAAACUGCCAUGUGAAGAGCUGUCAAGCCUGAUAAUGAACCUCUUUCUCUGAUUGCGUCGGGAUGCAUAGUAAGAUACUUCUUUGCAGAACUCCAGUCACCUUUUGCAACAGCAUCAAUCAAGGGUUGAUGGUGGGGGAAAUCGUUGAAGUCGCCAUUAGUUUUAGGGUUCUUUAGAUAUAAGUCCAUGCAACACUUAUUUCCUUGACAAAAACCCAUUUCAUUGUAAACAUCCAAUAAAACCCAAAUUUGAAGUAGACUGCCAGGUAAACAAAUAAAUACCUAUUAUUUUCAAACUAUUUACAAUUGUGCCACAACACUCUAAUUAUGUUAAUGAAUUUAAUUAUCCACCAUAAUUGUGAGAAAUAAGUGCCUUAUUAUUAUAAAAUUAUCUACUUUAUACUUCUCUUACCAUCAUAUAUUUCAUUUCUUUUAUUUGUUUGACAAUCAUUGUAGGUAAAUUAUUUUGCAUGUAUGUAUUAGACACAUUUUGUUAAAAUUAUAUAUAUGCAUACAAAUAAUUUAUCUAUAUUUUUAUGUAAAAUAAUAUGUAAUUAAUUAAUUUGAAUCAAUUGGCUACAAACAUUUAUUUAUUUUGUAGGUAAAUUAUUUUUCAUGUGAUAUUACAUAUGUACUAGCCACAUUUUGUUAUUUAUAUAGAGUGUGCAAUCAAUCGACAUUCUUUUAUUUUGUAGGUAAAUUAUUUUGCGUGUAGGUAAAUUGUUAUAUAUAUAUAUAUUUUUUUAUUUUUUUUUUUUGCAAAAUAUUGGUAUUUAAUUAAUUUUGAAUAAAAAUAUUUAUUUAUUUUGUAGGUAAAUUAUUUUGCAUAUAUGAUUACAUAAUUUACUAGGAACUUAUAUUGUUAUAUAUGUUGUGCAAAAUAAUUUACCUAUGUUACAUUUAAAAUAUUGAUAAUUUUGAAUACAUUAACUUUUUUAUAUUUGUAGGAUAUACUAAUUUACAUGUUAGCAUCAUGUGAAAACAACCAUAUAAGGAACAUUGGUAUCAUGUAAAUAUUUGAACAUUUAAUUGAAUGAAAUAAUGUACAAUAAAUGGAGUCAUGAUGGGUUUUAAUUAAAGAAAAUUGAGUUUCAAGGGGUGUAGUCAUAUUUUCAAUUAGUUUUAUAAUACUCUGUCAAGUAAUAUUAUUUAUUGUUUGUAAACUAAACGUCAAGAAUUUGGGGACAAAUCAUACAUAAUGUUGAAAUAAAAGAGAUCUGAUCAAAUACAAUUAAACAAAACAAUAGAGAUUCAUACAUGCUGCAGUAGAUAUCACAUAAUAUUACUACGUACGUACCCUCAUUCCGCGUCAGACCGGUAUUCAGCUCUUCAUGUGCCAUCAAAGGCACAUCCUCUGCAUCGAUCACUCACGGUGACUUUAUUAGAAGAAGAAAACUAAAUCUUAAUAGCUAUACUAUUGGAAUUUACUUGGAAAGGAGACAUGUAGUACGUGCGUACACAUACCUGUGUUUUCCAAGGCUUGAUCGGUCGGCUUCAACUUUUCAGCCAAAGUAUCCCAGGCGACUUUGGCCGAGCUAAUGCCCCGGAUAAUAAAAUGAGUAUCAUCUCCGCAACAAGUAUGGAUUGCAUGUAAAACCUUGGCGUUAUUCUUCCUCCAAACCAAAAAUUCCGCUUCACCAUCUUCUUGUCUAGGAGGUUCAGAGGUCUCUUCCACAACCUCCCAAAGAUCUUCAGCCAACAAGUAGGUUUUAAAGUGGAAACUCCAAUCUUCAUAAUUAUCAUGACUAAGAACCUUAAGAUUAGCAAUUACACUAGAAACAACUGUAGCUGCCAUGUUUAAUCUGCAAAUGUAAUCAAUUAUUUAAAGUGAUGUUAGGUCGAUUAAUUAAGAAAAUAAUGAAACAAAACAAUUCAGCUAACUCACCCUGGUCGAUCGAGUAGUGGCAAUCUGCAAAAAUAAGUAAGCUGCAGCUAUUAUCCAAUGAGCUUAAGUAAAUUCCCACUCUGUGCACAUAGAGUGACUACACUUCUGAUGUAUAUAUAGAUGUAUAGCAAAUGAGCGAUGAAAAAGGAUAAGAGUCCAGGUGGACGUCCAUGCCCGUCUUUGUCAACUGCAGAGACGGUGCAGCUGUUUCAUUCUAUCGCUAGUUUCAGCCAUACACUUCUUGUCUUCAAUAAUUAACGGGGAUAAUACUUGUCUUCAAUAAUUAUGUGGCCCAAUAAAAUUAUUCCACCUGUUUGAAACUCAAUCAAACACUUCUUAUUCUCCUAACCAAACACUCUGUCUUCCUCCUCAACCCUUCUUCCUCCAGCAACCCCUCACUCCGUUUCUUCUCCGGCGAACUAUUUUAAAAAAUUCCAACCCCAGCCCAUUCUACACAAAUCCGGAAAAUUCUAGCACCAAAGUCGGUGCAUCAUGCAGGCAUAUCAAUAUGCUAGAUAAUUCUAGCAUUAUCCUAUUAAGUCGGUGGGUGUGUAUGUAUAAUAAUAUGCUAGAAAAUUCUAGCAUCAUUAUUUAAGUCGGCAAGGUUAUUAUGCGUAGCAGUAUGUCGGUGCAGUGUGUGCAUGAACAUGCACUAGAAAGUGCUAGUGAAGUCGGCAAACAUGCCUGUGUGUGUGUGUAUUGCUAUGUAACCAACCAACCAAGUGAGAGUGAGAACUAAGAGUAGUCUUGUGAGGAGUGUGAGUGGUGUAGAAUUUAUCUCUAGAAAGUGAGUGAGUGUCAUUGUUUCUAAAGUGUCUUUGAGAGUUUUGAGUGAUGUAAUAUUUUGUGUGUGUAAUACAAGUAAUUUGUUUACUUGUGUUGUCUCUCCAACACUUGUGUUAGAGUUGUGUACUUUAAUUUUUUCCUCAACAAUUGGUAUCAGAGCAGUACGAUCAGGGACCGUCUCUAUUGAAGCUUUUGAGAAUCUUGAGAAGUUUAGUACUUCACAAGAUAAUUGGUUAAUCUUGUUCGGCUUAUCGAAGCUCUGCCGAUACGAUGGGAGACCUUCAAGUUGUUGGAGGAAUCAAAAAGUUGAACAACAAAAAUUACAACACAUGGGCGACGUGUAUGGAGUCUUACCUACAAGGCCAAGAUCUUUGGGAUGUCGUCGGCGGUAAUGAAGUUAUGCAGCCGGAAGAAGACACCUGCUGGAUUUUGCGAAAGUGGAAGAUCAAGGCAGGUAAGGCAAUGUUCGCCUUAAAAACAACGGUUGAAGAUGACAUAUCGGAGCACAUACGGAAGGCCAAGACACCAAAAGAAGCGUGGGACACCUUCGCCACACUCUUUUCAAAGAGGAACGACACAAGGCUGCAGCUUGUUGAGAACGAGCUAUUAUCGGUGGCCCAAGGGGAUAUGACGAUUGCCCAGUAUUUCCACAAGGUAAAGUCUAUUUGCCGUGAAAUUUCUGAAUUAGAUCCUAGUGCUGCCAUUGCAGAAUCCAGGAUAAAAAGAAUAAUUAUCCAUGGAUUGAGACCCAAAUAUCGGCUAACAAGUAGGUUUUUACCUGACAACUCCAAUUGUCAUAAUUUUUUACUUGUAGGAACAAUUUUAGCUAUCAUGUUCAAUCUGCCAUUUAUUCAACGAGAUUUCAUAUCCACCGAGCAUAUGUGAAUAAAAUAAAUAAAUAAAUAAAAAGCAAGAAAACAAAAUGAAACAAAGUCAGUCUGUCUAACAUCACUUGAGGAGGGCUAGUGUCGUAUUGGAAAUCAAGCACUCUUGUGACCUUCCUCACCUAUAGGUUUGAGGCUUCCCGUCCCUUUUUCCCCUAGAACCCCCCACCUAACUAUUGAAAAACAACGACACUACAUAUUGAAUUGGGGCAAUAAGAGAUGAGCUUUCUAAUUAGUAAAUUGGUAAUUCUCCUGCACGUUUGCACAUAGAUUAGUCAGAUGACUUCCUUUAAUUGCAACUGAAGGAAGCACUUAUCACAUUAAAGUCAUUAAUAUCUCCUUGAUAAAUAAUCGAGAACCCGAUACGCAAUCAAAUUCAAGUAUUUUGGAUUCUGGGAAGCUGCUAGAGUUGAUGUGUAAACACUUUUUGCAGAUUGCUUGAUUGUCAAUUUUAAUUCAAUCUUAUCGAAAAUCAUCCCAUUUUCUUUCAAAUUCUCAUAAUUAACUACAAAUCAACAUAUAAACGCUAACAUGGCCUCCAAGUUCAAUUGCUUAAUCUGGGCGUGAAUCUGUUAUUUUGUGCAGUGGAAAAAAUCAAACUUGAAUCGAGCUUCGCCACAGUGAAAUCGAGCUUCAAAAACUAUUGGGUGCUCUAGAUACGAGUCUAAUAUGGCUGGAUCGACUGGUUUUGAAUUUUCCAUUUAAAAUUUCCUACCCUAAUCAUCUAUUAAGCCUUAAAAAUAGAAAUUUGAAUUCUACAAAUCAAAUUGAGCAAUUUAAAAUGGAAGAUUUUUAAAGAAUUAAAUGAGAAUUAUAGACCAUAUAAAAAUUUGUACAAGCAAUCACAAAACCAAACAAAUAAUCUAAUAUCACUACUACAAUAUUAGCUUUAGGUGACGGAUGAUGGUGGCGGAUUUAGAAAAAUACUGUCGGAUAAAUUAUAUCCGACACAUUAUUUAAUUAGUCACGGAUAUUAUAAAAAUACUGUCGGUUAUAUCCGACAUAAUUUCCUGUCGGAUAAUUACUGGUGGAUGCUAGAAAACUACUGUCGGUUAUAUCCGACAUAAAUUCCUGGUGGAUAAUUACCGGCGAACAUUAUAAAACUCUUGUCGGUUAUAACCGACAAUAUUUUUGAAUUUUAAAAAAAAAAUGUUUUUGACAGAUUCUGGCGGUUUUUAAGUUACUUGUGGCAGUUUUUAAGUUAAUGGUGGCGGUUAUAACUGACAGAAAUUGAUUAUUUUAUUAUUUUAGUAUCUAGCGGUUAUUAAUUUAGUAUUUUGUCAGUUAUAACCGAUAGAAAUUCACUUUACGCCAAACGUUUUUCAAUUUGUUAUUCUUUCAGAUUUCGUUUUCUUCCUCAUCUUCAUUUUGCUCGUUUUCGCUUCAUCUUCAAUCUUUCUCUUCUCUUCCCCUCAAUUUGUAAGUUUUUCGAUUCUUUUGCUUCAUAUUUUAAAGUGUUAUAUUGUUUAAAAAUAAAUAAACAAAUGGUUUAAAUAUGUUUUUAUUUCAAAUUUGUUCAAUGCAUUCUUAUAGGAUCAAUGAGUGUAACUGUAAAAAAUCAUCAAAAUUGGAGCUAAAAUAACCGUUAAAUUGUGAUUUUUCGUUUAUAACCGUCGAAAACUUUUGUUCCUUUACGUAAUCCUGAAUGUUUAUUUUUUUGUAAUUUUUUACAUAUGCAAUCUCGGAGUGUGUAUAAAUAAAUUUUACGGUUGGAUCGUUGAAAAAAGUUUCGUAGAAUGCAUAUCACGUCAAAAUGGUAGAUUAAACAAACACUUAAAGAGUUAAUAUUAUACUUCCAUCAAGUAUAAAGUAAGAAUCCACUAGUGUAAAUAUUUUAAAUUGAAGAUCAAAUUUAUUCAUUGCAUUCUUAUAGGAUCGAGGAGUGUAGCUGUAAAAAAUCAUUAAAAUCGGAGCUAAAAUAACCGUUAAAUUGUGAUUUUUCGUUUAUAACCGUCGAAAACUUUUGUUCCAAUACGUAAUCUCUUAAUGUUAUUUUUUUACGAUUUUUUCCGUAUGCAAUCUCGAAAUGUGUACAAAUAAGUUUGAUGGUUGGAUCGUUGAAAAACGUUUCGUAAAAUGUGUCACAUCCCGGCCCGGGGCGUACCACUUCCCGGACCCAUUCCACCGCCGUAGCACGAUAUUGUCCCCUUUGGGCUUACCAUUCCCUCACGGUUUUGUUUUUGGGAACUCACGAGCAACUUCCCAGUGGGUCACCCAUCCUAGGAGUGCUCUGGCCUCCUUCUCGCUUAACUUCGGAGUUCCUACGGAACCCGAAGCCAGUGAGCUCACAAAAAGCCUCGUGCUAGGUAGGGAUGGGAAUAUACAUUUAAGGAUCACUCCCUUGGGCGAUGUGGGAUGUUACAAUCCACCUCCUUUAGGGGCCCGACGUCCUCGUCGGCACAAUUCCGGCCAGGGAUUGGCUCUGAUACCAUUUGUCACAUCCCGGCUCGGGGCGUACCACUUCCCGGGCCCGUUCCACCACCGUAGCACGAUAUUGUCCGUUUUGGGCUUACCAUUCCCUCACGGUUUUGUUUUUGGGAACUCACGAGUAACUUCCCAACGGGUCACCCAUCCUGGAAGUGCUCUGGCCUCCUUCUCGCUUAACUUCGGAGUUCUUACGGAACCCGAAACCAGUGAGCUCCCAAAAGGCCUCGUGCUAGGUAGAGAUGGGAAUAUACAUUUAAGGAUCACUCCCCUGGGCGAUGUGGGAUGUUACAGAAUGCAUAUCGCGUUAAAACGGUAGAUUAAACAAACACUUAGAGUUAAUAUUAUACUUCCAUUAAGUAUAAAAUAAGAGUUUGUGGUAUCCACUAGUGUAAAUAUUUUUAAUUGAAGAUCGAAUUCGUUCAUUGCAUUCUUAUAGGGUCGAGGAGUGCAGCUGUAAAAAAAAUCAUCAAAACUGGAGCUAAAAUAACCGUUAAAUUAUGAUUUUUCGUUUAUAACCGUUGAAAACUUUUGUUUCGUUACCUAAUCUUUGAAUUUUUUUUUUGGCGAUUUUUUACAUAUGCAAUCUUGUAAUAUCUACAAACAAGUUUGAUGGUUAGAUUAUGGAAAUUAGUUUCGUAGAAUGCAUAUCUUCGUUAAAUUUGCCUAAAUUUUGAAGUGGGAAAAGUAAUUUGUGCUAAAUUUUUAUUUAUGUUUUUCAGGUAUUGAUUAGACAAUAUUUAGUUUGUGUAAUGACAUUUUCAUUGUACAAUUAUCUUUUUGAUUAGACAAUAUUUAGUUUGUGUGAUGACUUUUUCUUUGUACAAUUAUCUUUUUGUUUCUUUAUCGCAUAUUUUACAUGGGUUAUUAUCUAUUAAACUAAACAAUUAUUUAUUUAAUUUUUAAAAACGUAUUUAAUUUAAAUACAUAUUAUUUAUUUAUUUAUUAAACCAAACAAUUAUUAUUUUAUUUUUUUAAAUCGAAUCAAAAUUUUGGAAGGGAAUUAAAAAAUUUGGGAGGAAAUUUUGGGCGGACCAUUUUGUUUCUGUCGGUUAAAACCGACAGUAACUAAAAUGUUUCUGUCGGUUUUUAUUUAAAAAAAUGUUUAUGUCGAUUUUAGCCGACAGUAAUGAAAAGAUUCCAAAAUAAAACCCUUUCCCCUUCCCCUUCCCCUUCCCCUCCCCCUUCCUUCAUUUCCCAUUUCUGCUCUUAUCCCCUCUUCUCUCUAACCUUGAGCCCAAAUCCAUGAGAGCUUUCUUCCUCUCUCUUCAUUUCUCUCUAUAAUCUUCAGCCUCAUAUGUCAUCCCUCCUCUCUUAUCUUCUCGGCCUGCAACCCAAAACCAAAACAACCCACACCCCCAUAUCUUAGACAUCUCCGUUUCGAGUUUCCUUUUUUAUUAGAAAAUAGACGAAACCCUCGUGCAUGUGUGCUUUCAGUGCAGGUUCAACAAUCAGCGGAGAGGGUGAAGAACACGAAUAAAGCGACUGCAAAAUUUCAAAUCUGCCUGAUACAAGCGGAAAAAUCGAGGUUCUAGAUCUGCAAGAAAAGGUAUAAGGCCUCCUUCCCCAAACUCGAGCUUGAUCUUGUGCAUACCAUAUUUGGAGUUUGCUUGCAAUAUCUUGGUUUGUGCAUGCAUGCAUAAAUCAAAUAUGUUGUUCAAUAUGCUCAUGAAUCUGUUCUUGUUUGCUUGCAUGUACCUACCAAUAUAUUCUCGAGCCAAGCAUGUGCAUAACUGAAUGAGUAUUCUGCCUUGAUGAGCUGUGUCCUUUGUGCUACUUAGAUCCCCAAAAAGUUGAAUGUGUGUAUUAGGAAUUUGAUGAAUGGAUCUAAGUGGCACAGAAGCUUCUCAGUUGCCCCCUCUGUGAGUAUUUCUGAACUGCCAAAUCCCAUUAAUGUAGAGGAAUGAAUGAUGAAUGUGCUGGGGUGAAUAAAUGUUAAUUGUAUGCCCGUAGUUGAGAUUAGGCAGAAUCAACUCCGAAUUGAAUACAAAACUCAGUUCUAUGGAAAAUGAAGCUCGAAAUUAUUACACAAUUGGUGGAAAAAAAAGUUUGAGAUGAAGUUUCACUUACUGGUAGAUGACUUUUGAAACAGGGUUGUCCAGACUGCAAAAGAAAUCCAUGGCUUUUGAAAGAGGGGAUGUUCCAAAUCUACCGUCUCUAUCCCUCUCCAAUGUUCUCCGUCUCUCACAUCAUCAUAUUGUACUUCUCCUUCCCCGAUACAUGAUUUUUUGGGUAGUGAAUCAGAAGGCAGGAGUUUCACGGCCAGUAAAUGUUCAUCUCCAUGAGUGUCUCCUUUCGAACGGGCAGAAUCUUUUGGCUCUCCAACUAAUAUGCGAGGAUCUCCUGUUCAACAUUGCAAGAGCCCAUUUUCACGUUCUUCUGUUUUCUGUACCAAUUUGGAUCAGUCUUCUUCAUCGAGCUCUGAAACCUCUUGGCAGCUUGGGAAAUUUCCAUUUCUUCCAAAUCCUCCAACAUACUGCCAGUCCAAUUCGAGCCGUUCUUGUGAUGCAGAAAAUGGUUUAAUUUUUUUUACUAUUAAUAUAUGUUCUGUUGGUUUUAUCCGACAGAAAAUGCUUUCAUUUAUUCUUAAUAAUAAAUUUUCUGUCGGUUUUAACCGAUAGAAAUAUUCUUUUAUUUAUUAUUAAUAUAUUCUCUGUCGGUUACAUCCUACAUAAUUUCUGUCGGUUUUAGAGUAUUUUCUUUCGGAAAAUUCAUUUCCUGACGUUGGCAAUUAUGUCACUUAUUAUAUCCGUCAUUGCAUCUAUUUUCUGUCGGAUUUUGCUUAAAAUCCGACAGUAAUAUACGUUUUUUGUCGGUUUUUGAACCGUCAGUUAUAGAUAAUUUUGUAGUAGUGUAUGUGGACACAAUUAUUUUUAUUUAUUGGGUGUGAUUAUCAUCCAUCUUCGAAUUCAUACAAACCCUUGAUUCUAUGUCACUAGUUAAUUACACAAAUUCUAAUUAAUGGUUAGGCAAAGAAACAACAGUCAGUACUGCUGCGCAUCGCUUGUUCAAUAUUCAAGAAGCACUAAGAGUCUAUAUGCAAAAAUGUUCUUGCCGCAGAAUUAAGUUUCACAUAAAAAAAAUGUAACAAAAUAAUACACAAUUUAUAUUUGGAGGAUUUCUUUCUAAUAUUACCGAAGCUUUUGAUAAACAUAACAAUAUGUGGUUAAGUAAAGACAAUUUCAAUAACGUUGGUGGUAACUCACACUAAGCCAAAAAGUUUAUUAUAACCUUAGAGCAUGUUAUUCUUCCAACUCAUUUUAGGCUCAAUUUAUUAGGAGUUUUCAAAAAAUUGCGCUAGCUCUAACUUAAAGGUAUUGAUUUAAUGACCAAUCAUUCGAAAAGAUGUGCGUUGACUCUAGUACUUUGGGCUCUAAAUAAGACUGUUGUUAGAUUCAAUAUAAUGACAUUAAAUAAGAUAUCUAUUAAACAUUAUAACAAAAAUAUAAUAUGAAUUUGAAUUAAGUACACAUUAAGGGACUAAAACCAAUAUCCAAUCUAACACCAGGUUUUUAUUAAAUUUUAAUCUUCUUUAAGGAUUAAAGUUUAUAAACCCUUAUUUUUUCAAACAAAGUAAAGCUAAAGGACUUUUAUUGUGGAGGGUAAUAGGUAAUUUUUAAAAACUAACUAUAUUAAAUCAACUUUUCCUAGAAAUUGAGUCGGCUUCCACUUUUGAAUGCAAAACGGUCACAAGCCAAUGUUGCUAUGGGGAAUUCUCUGUCGUGAUCUUUAGCCAUGGCUAGCUGUGGGUUUAACGCUAAAUCAAAUCUCUUGCAAUAUCUAUAUAUAAUAAAAGUGUGAAAAACAACAAUGUAAGUAUGCAGAUAAAAUAUGUAACCUAAAAGAUCACACACCGGCAAAAGAAGAUAUAGCUAGGGCGUCGACAUUAAUAAUUGGUCAUGUUUGAAACUCAGUCGAUUCCCUCUCUUACCAAAUCGUUUGUAACGAAAGCCGAGAGAAAUGAAUUGAGAGGCAUCGGUAACGUGCAGUGUUUUGCGUGGAGUGACAGAAUAGAGAUAACGCUCCAUUCUUUCCCCAAUUGACAAACUCGGAGCGAAGACAACUAGAGGCGUCGUGUCGGCAGGUAAAAUACUAAGUAAUUUGUCAUUCUUUUCAACCAUGCGUUUGGCUACUUCAACCCUGUUUUGACGAAAUGUUAUUACAAGAUUCAGAGCUGUGGAACCGAAUGUGUCUUGAAUUUCCAAGUCUUCCUUUGCCAUUAACUCCACCAACUGUUCUAUAUUGCGCACGCUGCAGUUGUUAAGCGGCCGGACUGCGUAGCGAAGAGCUGUACCGCCACUUGAAAUUCUUUCACUUCCUACCUGGGGAUGGUCGCGAAGAAACUGGAUCGCUUUAUCCCAAUAAUUAGACUUCACAUAUUUGACGAAAGUUGCAUGGAUAUCGUUUGCAAUGCUCUCAUGUCCUGCAUGCCGUAUUUUAUUUUAACUUUGUUAACUGCUAACUUUCCCACGCAAUAUCUUAAUUUGUGAGGGAUCAAGGUAUAUAUAUACACUACCUGCAUUGAGCCCUUCUUCCAUCGCGAGCUCUGGCCUAGCUUCACGAUCAGUUGGGGUUGGCUCUUCAUCAUGAUCAAUCGGGCUGGAUACGCUUGAAGAAGUGACCCUCUCAUCUAAAAAUGAAAGUCUUGAUAUUCAGAUGUUACCAUCAAUUCUUAAUUUGUGUUUUCUUUUCCUUUCUUACAAAUGCCUAUGUGUGUGAGAAGUUCAGCUACUAAUCAGAAUGCUUUAUUACUCCAUAAUAAAUACAAAAUAUUCCUCGUCAAACCAGAAUAGUACAACCACUGCCGUGUGUAUGGGAAUUGGGAUAAUAAUCAAGAUAUCGACAGUGAUGCUCACGGUGUUCACAUAUCCAGAAAGUUCAAUUCUACUACUGGUUCUCCUGGGAAACAUUGUUACACUAUUUAAGACAUGAUUAACAAUUUCAAGGCAGUUUAAUAUUUAAACUCUUGAGUAAUUUGUGACCUUUCAGUUAACAAUAAACUCUACAUAAAAAAUAUAAGUACAAAAGAAAAAAAAGUUGUCAAUCUCAUGAAAAAAAUCAACUAAAAACUAACUGCAAAACGAAGGCAAUCAAAUCAAUACUCCAAGCCAAGAUAAACCAAAAAGUUGGCCUAUCAUCCCUCGAGUAAACACGAAUAUCAGCCUGGGUUCUCCUUCUCAUCUCAUUUAUAACUUACCUCCUUGUCCAAGGAGGCAUCCAAGUACAAGAAGCCUAGUAGUGAUUAUGCCUCUAUCGGAGAAUUCACUUCUUCUGUUCUGAAGCUCAAGAAUUGUCUCAAUGGUUUGUGAUCUGGGAUUCCACAAAGCCCGAAAAAGUAUGAGCAAGGUGAUCCACAGCUAGCAUAUUCUUGAUCCCCAGGUACCAGCAACCAGUUGGUGCACAGUAUGUUGUCCAUGCAAGUAACACUUCCAAGAAUAUGAAAAGAAGUUAAAGACAGGAAAUGGCUGUGUAUCACAAAAUGGCAUACCUCAAAAGCAGAGACGUGAAUUACACUUUCUUCUGAAUCCUUUGAUGCAUCCUGAGCAUGAAUACUGGCUCCUGUUUCCAGUAACCGCCCUUGCCAAUAACCCCACCAAAUUUCCCAGCUGAACACAAAAUUUUCAUGAAAACUCAGCUAGAGCUAGAGCUAGAGCUUCACCCCCAUGUCCAGGAGGAAAACCAUUAAAACCACCCCGGACAAAUCCAGAACGGUUUUCAUAUCCUCCUGUCCAUGGCAUUGGCGACAUAGUGUGGGAAGGAGCCCGAUUAAACAACAUUGGAUUUCUAGGUGAAAGGAAUGGCAUAGGAAAGCCCGAAGGAGGCUUGUACUUCCUAGGAUUCUGAUGCAGUAGAUUAGACACUUCAUAAAGUGCCCUCUUUGUCAUAUUUGGCUUUGCAGGUAUCUCUCACUUUUGUUGGAAGUUAUAGGCACCAAAAAACAAAUAACAAAGUACUUUUCAUGUGAGUUUCAUAUAAGCAUGUUUGAAGAUUGAAAGUGACCAAGCUACAAAAUCAUAUGCUUUUACAAAUGUAAAAAGAAGACAUGAAAAGUCUCAAUACACCCACAAGUUUCCAGCGGCAGACUUCACUGGCACAAAGUGACUGCAUACGUGGACCACUGGACUUUCAUUCGUAUACAUAGACAUAUUUAGGGUAUAUAUUUUGAGCACCAAUAAAUUUCCCAAUAACAACAUACACAGCUGGGAAGACAUAUUAAAUUAAAAACAACAAAAAUCAUUUCUAACACAAAAAUAAGUUUGAAAAAAAAUUAACUUUAAUCAACAGAUGAGCUCAUACGAUGUCAUAAGAUUUGCUCUAUUAGCUCAAUCAAAAGUCUAAUUCCAUCUACAUCAUAUAAAAUCUUCUUUUGGAACAUUAUUUCCUAUGUUAGAGAACAUGCAAGGAGCACAAAAAUAGAAAGGGUACCAGCACCAAUUCAUCAGUUUCCAUAACACAGUUGGAAGCUGAUCUGCAGGAAGGACAACCAACCAUAUUGUUUGGAACUAGAAGUCUUGUGGUGACAACACUGUUCUCAUUGUCAUCAUCAAAUGUAACUCCACCAAAACGAUCUUCCUCGACAAUCCUGUCAUGAACUUUCAACAGAGCAUCCUGGGCAGCACAAUGCGGCUCCAUUUCAUUUCCAUCAGCUAAAUUUUCAUGGUUACUUUGUUUGCUUGAAAUUUUUGUUGGAGAGCUAUAGAUAAUAAUUACUCUCUCAUCUGAGCCAAGAACAGAAUCAGAAACCUUAAUCUUUGCCGGGGGUCUCCUCUAAGGGCUUUGCCACCCUUCCCAAUAACACCACCGAUCUUUUUAGAAGGGCAGAGAAUACGACACACAGUGUUGAGCAAUUGAUAAUCCUCUGAAGGUUGCUUACGGCUUGAAUCAUUCCACUUUCCUUUCUUAUAGUUGUUGUUACCCCCUCUUCUUUUAAACUGGAUAUUAGGGCGUUUCUUGAAAAGGUUUCGAUUGUUCCCAUCCAUCAUACCCCUCAAUACUAAUAACUAAUAACUGAAGGGGACUGAAUUUUAAGCAAACCUUAAUACAUGAAUUAAACAAAACAAUAACAAAAGUCGCCAUUACUGCAAAAGAGCCGAAUGCCAUCCCAAUUUUCUCGAGCAAUGAAACUGGGCUCAUCACUUACAAUUUCGAACUGAACACUAAAUUA
rnacentral:lncRNA from 1 species